GCCUUCCCAACCGUCGAUCCGUGUUUGAUCAACGGCUAGCGAUGCGCCGUGACCAGGGAUUUUACAAAGUCGUCCCUGGUUUGGAUCGCGAUUAUUAAGAAAUAAAUUUUAUAUUGUCCCCCCUGGUUUGGAUCGCGAUUAUUAAGAAAUAAAUUUUAUAUUGUCCCCCCUGGUUUGGAUCGAUUGUUUGCAGAUUAGCCCUCCUGUAUUCCGGCGGGAUGGUUUGCCCCUCCCGCUCCUCCUCCGCCGCCGCCCCUCGUCCAUUCGCCGGCCGUCCUCCGGCGAGCUCGUCGAGCAGCCGUUCCGACCUGGCCUUCGCGCGGCGAAGGAGGAGUUUUUUUUUUGUGCAGAUUAGCCGUCGUGGAUGGGCUGAUGGCUGGGCUUUCUGUCCCUCCUCCCGCCGUCCGCCCGUUCGCCAUCCCACCGGUGAAGACCAAGUCAACCUACACUGGUGGUUCGGAAUGAGAGAGACGACGACGAGCUCGCUUGAAUCGAGCAUGUUGCAGGGGAUAUCCGUUUGCGACGGCGCUGAGGCCCGCAAGUACUGGCGCUGCUUCGUCGUGCCCGCUUCCUGUUCGAUGGAAUACCGCGCCGCCGAUACGAUACCAACUUCAGUCUCUUUCACCCAGGACUAUUACACUAGUCACACCAUGCAGUAACCCUGAAUUGAAUUGAUCACUUGUUCCUGGCCUCAAAUGCUACAUGUCACUGAUGCAGCUGCAUAGCUAGACUUAUCUUCAAGCCCACAACAGCACAAAUCCUUUGUGUUAUCUCCAUGGCAAUGCUUUUCUGCCUUAAUCUCAUGGUAAACACUAGAUAACUGACUGUCAUCGCUAAGGAUAGCUGUCUCUGGUGUAUUGGAAUGAUCAGGAACAUCCACAUGUGGAUUCCUUGCAGCUUCAUCCAUCUCAGGAUCUUCUGAUGGGCUUGUUUUUCCAUGCUCGCUUGAUUGAUCUGUGUGGGAUGCUGCUGCUUCAUCAGUCAACAUGGACCCAGAAACGGCUUGCUGCUCAAUGAGAGGUGAUUGCAACAUAUGUGAAAUAUCACAGAAACUAUUUAUCGUUUCCAUGAAAUUGGAAUAGAUUAUUCUUUCUUCUUCAUGGUAGGAUCUCUCAAAGUUCUGCACUAUAAUAAACUCCUCUUCUGCUUGCUUGAGCUUGUCAUUUAAUUCACCUGGUCCACUGGUUAGUACUGCCUUCUCUUCCUCCAGUUUCUGCAUUGAGUUCUCCAGCUCAUUGUUUUCCAGACACAGCCUAUUUAUCUUUGCAGUCUGUGCUGAAACCAUGAGCUCCAAAUCCACAACUCUAUUGACUAUUUCAUCAAUUUUCUCUGCAAUCUCUACCACAUGAAGAUCAGAGUUCAUCUGAAAGUAUCCCUUGAUCUUAUUUACUAUAUCUUGUAGUUCAAUUUUCUUCUGCUUCAUGGAGUACAAUUCAUCUAUCUUAACACUGGCAUAACUUUUAACGUUCUCAUGUGGAGAAUUUCCCGGAUAUGAUGGGGAUUUACCAUGUCCUUUCAUGACACCCUCCAGCUUCUCCCUGGAAACCUUGAUUCUUUGGGACUCGAUCAUUGCUUGGCUGAAAGAUGUCUUCUGUUGUUCCUGCAUUUUAAUAAGCGCGUCUUCACAGGAUUUAAGAGCAGUUGCUGUCAUCAAAGCCCGGGCUUCGUCAUCGUCAAUCGCUGCACUUUCAUUGAACUCCUCUUGGAAGUAGCAAACCUCUUCCUGCAUGUCAUUAAUCUUCUUUUCAAGAUCCCAGUACUUUGAAAUUCCACUCUCGUAAGAGCUUUUGAUGAACUCUUUCUCAGUCUGCAGGACUAAUAUUUCUUUCUGUAGCCUGCCAAUCUCUGCUUGUGCAUUCUCCUUGUUGAUUGGAGUUGCAGAUUUCUUGUUUCCAUCCUUCAGUCCUGAUUUCCCUCCGUGCUUCUUCUUCAUCAGUCCUUCCACUGUUGACUUGUGGAUUUUGCGAGGAUCAACCGUGGUAAAUGCCUUCGGGAGAUUGUCAUCAUCCUCUUCUAGCAAUGCAUACUGGACUUGAUCAGGGAAGGCAGUUGCAAUGGUAUGGUUUGCUUUGUGUAGCUCCCCUGAUAUAUGGUCAUAGCGUUCAGCAAGGGCCCUGUAUGCCCGGUAUGCUUCUUCCACGGAACCGAUAACCUCCGGUCGCCUCUUGUAGUACAUUUCUGCCCUCUUUGCAAAAGAAUCAGCUUCCUCCCCAAGGAGGAAGAGAAUGCACUUGACCCUAUCUUCCAUAUCUGCAUAUCCACGGCAAUCUCUUAAUACCCGAAAUACAAUAAUGUUGAACAAUUACAAAAGCAAGCGCAUUUCAACCCUAUUUUAGAGACACUGGUUAUUCAGAAGAAAAUGCUCAAAAUUCAUUAUCUAAAUGCAUUGGCAGGAUUGCAGAAAUAUGUGUUGAAGGAUGUUUUAUGAUACCUGUAUAAAAAUAUCUAAACUUCAAAGCAAUUGUAACUGGUAUGGGUUUGAUAUGUCAGCGGCUUCAUUUUUUUCUUUUUAUGUACUUAACUGCCUUGCAUUUGGUGGUCAUUUUAUUUGGCACAUAAUGAUAUACAACGUUUCGAUUGUGAAGAGCUGUAGCAUAUAUCUCUCUACUAGGCUAAUACCAUAGAUCUAGCAUGAAAAGUACAAUAUUUCUUGCUCUGAGGGACCAGACAUCAUCAUACAUUUUUCUUUGUCAAGUGACUACUAUAUAUUGGUGCUUAGUUGAUCCAUGCAUCAACUUCAUAGUCACCUAUGAUUGUAUUUACAAGAAAUCAGAUGUUCUUAGUAGAAUUCUGGUACAAAUAACAUAGAGUAGUAUAUUUUUAAUAGAUCGCAGGAUAGAUAAUCAUGACUCAUGAUGCCGAAUGCUAGUUUAUUUGACAUCUUUUUCAGGAAAUUAUUCAAGUUUGGAGAAAGAAAAGAAACGGUUCAGAUAAAUCAUCAUCUCCCUGGUUGUCCAACAAAGCUGUAACAAAAUGGCGGUGCCGGUGAAGUAGCACAUAAAUCAUGACAUGAGCUGUUUUUCUAAGAAAGAAAAACCAAUUGGACCCGGGUGUUAUGCCUGCAUGUGCAUGGACUGGAUGGUGUGAUCAGGAAAGCCAAACCUUUGAGGUUGUUGUCGAGCCAUUUGGACUGUUUGGUGCGGACAUGGCUCGCCCACCACCAUGAGUAGGCGUUGCUUGCCGCCCGCUGCAGCAUUCUGUUCCGGCCUCCUUCAGCUCAGAGUUCUUCAGCCGUGUAGCCCCUACUCCUGUUGACAAGAAAGUGAUGGGGGUAUCAGAAUUCAGAAAGAAAUUAAGGCAGGAAAAAAUGUCAUGAUUGGUUAAUGUCUGGUACCUCCGUUUGCUGUUGACGAUGCGCCAUCUCUAAAUCAAACGAAGAACGCAGAUGCUUGUGCUUGGUUGGCAGCACAAGAGAGUAAUUGGUAGGUACUAGUGGAGACGAAGUGGCAGGAACCGGAGAAGUAGUCCCUGAAUGGUGGGCCCCUUGGUUGUGUGAACUCGGCUGGUGUUGCGCGGCACGUCGGCAUGUGCUGGUUGGCUCGAAAUUCCUUCCUGAUGCCCCGGGGGCUUUACUGGUCUUGUUUUCUGCAGUGUUUUUUUUUUUUCUCCUUAAAACAAUACAACAUGUUCCCAUGUUUUUCUUCUCUUACGAGCGAGACUUGUGACUUGUCCGUGUGUAUAAUCCUGUAAAUUUUCUGGGGCAUGCAGUUACGCGCAUUGUAUAGCUUUGCAUUGUCCAUCGUAUAAAUUCCUGUAAAUGAAAUACAUGUUUUCAAACGUUCUAAAAUAUUUAUAAGAUACAAAGAAGGGCAUGUUUCAUAGCUAUUCG